rnacentral:sRNA from 1 species
GCUGAGCUCUAUGGAUCCAUCUGGAUGAAAAAGGAGCUUAUAUUUGUCAGCUUUGCAAGUGGGGUUCAGUUUCGGGGAAGGGGUGAGAGAGAAGAAAGGAAGAAACUGAUGAAGGGAAUGAAAGAGGAAAAGACCUGCCUGAGACCUGGAUCUUAGAAACAAACCUUUCCUAACAACAGACCUCCGAGCAUAAAAAGAGUAUUUUCAAACAACUCAAAAAAUCAGUCUAAAUCAACGAUAUUCAAAAGGACAAAGAAAAAAUAAUAGGGGAUUAUGUCCUUUUCUCAUCUGUCUUAUGUUCUGAAGUUAUUCAUUUGACACCUUCUGCUCCUUUACGAUGGCAGGCCUGUUUUCCAAAGAUGCCCGUUCCAGCCAUCUAUUGCUAUGUAACAAAUGAUGACGACGUAUGAUGGUUUAAAAUCACAACUAUUUUAUUUCAUCUCUCAAAAUUGUGGGUCAGAGUUCAGGCUUGGUGAAGUGAUUCAUCUGCUCCAUAUGGCUUGAACAGUGGUCUCAGGGUGGUAUUCAGCUGGUGAGUUGGCUGGUUUCAAGGGUCUAAGUGAAGUUUAGAGGCUUCACUCACAUGUCUGCACCUUGGCAGGGAUGGCUUCAAAGGUGGGGUCCAUUGGGACU